rnacentral:rRNA from 1 species
AGGAUAAACGCUGGCGGCGUGCAUGAGACAUGCAAGUCGAACGGACGAUCAGGGCUUGCUCUGAUCGUUAGUGGCGGACGGCUGAGUAACGCGUAGGUGACCUGCCCCGAAGUGGGGAAUAACUGCCCGAAAGGGUGGCUAAUACCGCAUGUGGUGGUGCCUUCAUCGGCACCAGUAAAGCCGCAAGGCGCUUCGGGAGGGGCCUGCGUCCGAUUAGCUCGUUGGUGGGGUAACGGCUCACCAAGGCGACGAUCGGUAGGUGGUCUGAGAGGACGAUCACCCAGACUGGGACUGAGACACGGCCCAGACUCCUACGGGAGGCAGCAGUCGGGAAUUUUUGCGCAAUGGACGAAAGUACUGACGCAGCAACGCCGCGUGAGGGAUGACGGCCUUCGGUUGUUAACCUCUUUUUGUACUAGGGAAGAUGAUGACGGUACCUAGGCGAAUAACGUCACGGACUAACUACGUGACCGAGACAGCCG